GAUGAACGCUGGCGGCGUGCCUAAUACAUGCAAGUCGAGCGAACAGACGAGGAGCUUGCUCCUCUGACGUUAGCGGCGGACGGGUGAGUAACACGUGGAUAACCUACCUAUAAGACUGGGAUAACUUCGGGAAACCGGAGCUAAUACCGGAUAAUAUAUUGAACCGCAUGGUUCAAUAGUGAAAGACGGUUUUGCUGUCACUUAUAGAUGGAUCCGCUCCGCAUUAGCUAGUUGGUAAGGUAACGGCUUACCAAGGCAACGAUGCGUAGCCGACCUGAGAGGGUGAUCGGCCACGCUGGAACUGCGACACGGUCCGGACUCCUACGGGAGGCAGCAGUAGGGAAUCUUCCGCAAUGGGCGAAAGCCUGACGGAGCAACGCCGCGUGAGUGAUGAAGGUCUUCGGAUCGUAAAACUCUGUUAUUAGGGAAGAACAAAUGUGUAAGUAACUAUGCACGUCUUGACGGUACCUAAUCAGAAAGCCACGGCUAACUACGUG
rnacentral:rRNA from 1 species